rnacentral:rRNA from 1 species
CCCUUAGAUAUCCUAGGCUGCACGCGAGCUACAAUGGUAUAUAUAAAAGGUUGCUGUUCUGAGAAGACUGGCAAUACCCUGAUAUAUAUCGUAUUUGGAAUAGAUUUUUGUAAUUAUCAAUCUUGAACGAGGAAUUCCUAGUAAAAAUAUUUCAUCAUAAUGUUUUGAUUGUGUCCCUGCCCUUUGUACACACCGCCCGUCGCUCCUACCGAUUGAAUAUUCCGGUGAGAAGAUAGGAGAAAAAUCUUUUGAUUUUUUGAAUAUUUUUGAACCUUGAUAUUUAGAGGAAGGAGAAGUCGUANCA